CAGAGUAAGGAGUCUAUGUAGGGAAAGUAAUCUACAAUACAUUUAAAUUAAUAACUUUCAAAAGUUUCAAGUAAGAUAAAAUAACAAUCCAAAUUCUAUUG
rnacentral:snoRNA from 1 species